UACGUAGGUGGCAAGCGUUGUCCGGAUUUACUGGGCGUAAAGAGCGCGCAGGCGGUCGUUCAAGUCGCGUGUGGAAGCCCCCGGCUCAACUGGGGAGGGUCACGCGAUACUGAUCGACUCGAAGGCAGGAGAGGGUAGUGGAAUUCCCGGUGUAGUGGUGAAAUGCGUAGAUAUCGGGAGGAACACCAGUGGCGAAGGCGACUACCUGGCCUGUUCUUGACGCUGAGGCGCGAAAGCUAGGGGAGCAAACGGA
rnacentral:rRNA from 1 species